rnacentral:rRNA from 1 species
UACGUAGGUGGCAAGCGUUGUCCGGAAUUAUUGGGCGUAAAGCGCGCGCAGGUGGUUUCUUAAGUCUGAUGUGAAAGCCCACGGCUCAACCGUGGAGGGUCAUUGGAAACUGGGGAACUUGAGUGCAGAAGAGGAAAGUGGAAUUCCAAGUGUAGCGGUGAAAUGCGUAGAGAUUUGGAGGAACACCAGUGGCGAAGGCGACUUUCUGGUCUGUAACUGACACUGAGGCGCGAAAGCGUGGGGAGCAAACAGGG